UUUGUUCUUGCUUUUGAAUAUAUAAAUUUUGCUAGAAAAUUUAGCAUCUCAAAUGUUGUAGAUGUAUUUCAUAUAAGCAUGAAUAUUGGAACUAAAAUUUGGUGCCAUGAGUUUUGGGAAAUUCGGCCAAAUCCUUAGGGUGACUUUUUGGGUUCAUGUUUGUCUUGUUAAAAUGGUUUUAAGGUGACUUUUGGAACCCCUAAGUACCCUAGGAUAUUAGCCCUCUUUUGAGAGGUGAAAAAUUGAGUUUUCAUGGUGUUCUUCAAAUGUUCUUGAAGUUCUUGCCAAGAACAAAAAGGUUUGAAGUUUUGAUUCAAAAGUUUUAUGUUUUUCAUAAAGUUUUGGUUUAAUUUUGAUGGGUGAUGGAUAUUGGUGAGAAGUGAUUAAAAGGAUUUAAUGUUUUGUCAAAACUCAUAAAUGUUUUACAAAAUUUUUUCUUACAAACCAUCAAUUUCACCUCACCCACCAAAAUCAACUUGCAUAUUGCACAUGCAUGCACUAAAACCCUUUCACACUUGUUCACACACCUUUUUGGCUGGCCACCCCUUCAAGUGGGGUACUUUUGGGGCCUUUUGUGCAAUUACAUAAAGUUGUGAAAAUUUUGUGUUUUUGCAUUUUGGCCCAAAAGUUUACGUUUUUACGUUUAGGCUUAAAAACUCUAAAGGACAAACUGUUUUGAUCCUUUAAUGAUGUUUUUACAUUAAUGAAAUUUUGGGUUCUAGUUGAAAUUACAUGAAGUUGUGGACUUUUGUGUUUUUUCAAAGUGACCC
rnacentral:lncRNA from 1 species